UAGGCCUACGGGACGCAGCAGUGGGGAAUAUUGCACAAUGGAGGGAACUCUGAUGCAGCGACGCCGCGUGAGUGAAGAAGUAAUUCGUUAUGUAAAGCUCUAUCAGCAGGGAAGAAAGUGACGGUACCUGAGUAAGAAGCACCGGCUAAAUACGUGCCAGCAGCCGCGGUAAUACGUAUGGUGCAAGCGUUAUCCGGAUUUACUGGGUGUAAAGGGAGCGCAGGCGGUGCGGCAAGUCUGAUGUGAAAGCCCGGGGCUCAACCCCGGGACUGCAUUGGAAACUACCGAACUAGAGUGUCGGAGGG
rnacentral:rRNA from 1 species